rnacentral:rRNA from 1 species
AUUGAACGCUGGCGGCAUGCUUUACACAUGCAAGUCGAACGGUAACAGGCCGCAAGGUGCUGACGAGUGGCGAACGGGUGAGUAAUGCAUCGGAACGUGCCCAGUCGUGGGGGAUAACGCAGCGAAAGCUGCGCUAAUACCGCAUACGAUCUCUGGAUGAAAGCGGGGGACCGAAAGGCCUCGCGCGAUUGGAGCGGCCGAUGUCAGAUUAGGUAGUUGGUGGGGUAAAGGCCCACCAAGCCAACGAGCUGUAGCGGGUCUGAGAGGACGACCAGCAACACGGUGAAGGAGACACGGCCCAGACUCCUACGGGAGGCAGCAGUGGGGGAUUUUGGACAAUGGGCGCAAGCCUGAUCCAGCAAUGCCGCGUGCAGGAAGAAGGCCUUCGGGUUGUAAACUGCUUUUGUACGGAACGAAACGGUCCUGGUUAAUACCUGGGGCUAAUGACGGUACCGUAAGAAUAAGCACCGGCUAACUACGUGCCAGCAGCCGCCGCAGUAA